AUGUAAAAUAAUAAUCUAAUCUAAACAGAUUUGAAGUUCAGAUUACAUCACCUCGGACCAGUUAAGGUCUCUCGAUCUACUGUAUGGUUGAAACUGAAAUUCCGAUUAGUCGCGCACGUGCUCGACCUCUACACAAAUCCACACGGAAUUGAUCCAGAUCCAACGCCUUCCGUCGUACGGAACAGAUGAGUCACAGAUUACAAAGACGGUGCUAACAGUGUUAUGAUAUCCACGCUCCCUUUUGUGAGAGUUACUGAUUUUUACGAAGGAUAAUAGAGAGAGAUGGAUUAUCUGAUACUUCUCAAGAGGCGAUCAUUAAAUCGCUCUCGUGUAGAUAUUAUAUAUCUCCUCACGUAGUUCCUCAAUUAACUACUAACACUACAGAAAAAGUAGCGUAUAGCUACGCUCUUUUGGCGAUGCAUGCAUAGGGCGUCGGCACUUUUAACCAUCUGUCGUUAAUAUUGCGACUCUAACGCCUCGUGUCGGCAAGUUCACGCGCGGGAACUUUUUCCCGUUCGCGCCUUGGGGUUGGAGCAAAAAAAUCUGACCUUUUUUUUCCAAAACCCACUUCUUUUUUCCCCCAAAACCCCAAAACCCACUUCUUUUUUCCCCAAAACCACCAGAUUCCCCUCCUCUCUCUAGCUUUGUCCCUCUCCCUCUAUUAUUAGCAAAAGCAGAGGGAAAGGCAGUCGCCAUUCGCCCUCACCGUGGCCGUCGCCGUUCGCCCUCACCACGGCCGUCGCCCUCACCGCGACCGUCGCCCUCACCGCGACCGUCGCCCUCACUGUGGCCAUCGCCAUUGCCGUCGCCGUUGCCGUUGCCGUCGUUGUCACUGUCGCCGUCGCCGCCGACUCUCCCUCACUGCUCCAGUCGCCGCCGACUCUGCUUUCGCUUUGGAUUAUAUUUGCCCUAACUCUGCUUCCACCCCCUUCUUCUCCAAGGAAGAGCAAAGGCACUCAAGAAUUAGGGCUAAAUCUUUUUAAGUACGAAGCAUGCAUUUGGAGGAUUUUUGCAAUCUUCAACUGAAAAAUACAAUCUUUGGCUACUUGCAAUGUUGCAAUGGACUAGGAUAUCAUUCUAUAAUUGUAGUCCACAUUGGAGGUUAGUUUACAAUGUGUUUAUUUUAGCAUAUUUUUUUUUUAUUUUAGGGUAAGCAUAUUUCUUUUAUUGAGAAAGAAGUUUGUGAUAUAUCUUGUCUAAAAUGUGUGAUCUGAUGGGUGUUUUUUGUGUCUUUAAUUAGGGCUCCUAUUGUACUAAAUUAAUUUUGGAUGCAAAUUAUUAUUGUAGAUUUUAUAUA